UACAGAGGUCCCAAGCGUUGUUCGGAUUCACUGGGCGUAAAGGGUGCGUAGGCGGUCGGGUAAGUCUGAUGUGAAAUCUCACAGCUUAACUGUGAAACUGCAUUGGAUACUAUUCGGCUUGAGAGUUGGAGGGGGGACUGGAAUUCUUGGUGUAGCAGUGAAAUGCGUAGAUAUCAAGAGGAACACCAGUGGCGAAGGCGAGUCCCUGGACAACUUCUGACGCUGAGGCACGAAAAGCUAGGGGAGCAAACAGG
rnacentral:rRNA from 1 species